GACUCGGGGACCCUCCUGCGCCCUCCACGCGGCGGCGCCUCUGGGCCGCUCUGGCUGCUGCCGCCCAGCCGCGGGCCCGGGCUCCGGGGAGCGCCAUGGCGCCCAGCGUGGCGCGGGGCACAGACCCGAGUAAGAGACGCGCGCAGGGCUCACUGUGAGUCCGGAGCCGGCGGAAGGAAGAGGGGCUGCGUGACCGCGCGCCGAGAGGGCCCGGGCCCGGGGCUGCGGCGCCACCUGUCGGCGCCCGGGCGCUCACCGCGGCCGCCUGUCGGUUCUUUCCCCAGUCCGCCGAGCGGACUGCCUGCCUUUUGGCACCGUGUGCCCGGACGAGUUCCCGGACCCAUCCAGGAGCUCUUAGUUCAGUCAAUUCCUUGACAUUUGACGUGCCUGGCUCAGAACUGGGCGCUGGGGACAUCUAGGUGCGCAAAGCCAGGUUGCCUUCUGACAGGAGCUGCCAAGAGAGCCCACCAGCAAGAGGCCAAAGAAAACAGAAGCUCUUUAUGCCAAAUCACAAGGACAGACAAGGGGAGUACGGAGGAUGGACAGGAGGAGGGCCUGGGCAGACCCUUCCUCCCUCUUUAUUCACAGAUUUAGAUGUCGUUCCAUCUGCUCUCGAAGUUUGAAUUUCUGGAUCUAGAGGAAAGAAAAAGGAGUUAGGGUGACCAACUGUCUUGGUAUGCCCAAGAAUAAGGGGUUUCUCAGGCUUUUAGUGCCAAAACAGGGAAAGUCCCCAGGCAAACCAGGAUUAGGUGACUUGGUCACCCUACUGCCAGCCUCUCCACACCCAUUGCUGAAGCAAACAGAGGUGGGGCCCCAUGGGACCCCAGAGCCCAGGCUGCCCUCCCUAGUCUCCUUCACCUUACACACCUUUCCUGAAGUGGUGAGGGGGUAGUUUGUGACGAACACGAUGUACCUCGGAAUCUUGAAGUGAGAGAUCUGCAGACCAGAGGGAGGGAGGUAAGGCGUGAGGCUGGGCAAGCUCACAGGGGUAUGGGAAGGGGACCGGGGCUGGCUUGGCCGGGAGUCAGCUUCGUCGAGGGCAGAGCAGCCCCCACCCCAGGCUGGUUGGCAGAGGAGUGGGCGAACAAAGAACCGAACAGCAUCAGCUUGGUUGGGCGGAGGCUCCCACCUUCCCUUUGCAGAAAGCUUUCAUCUCCUCCGCCGUGGUCUCCUCCCCGUCCUUCAGCCGAAUGCAGGCACAAAUCUCUUCCCCCAUCCGAUCGUCCUUCACUCCCACGACCUUCCAGGGCCAGGGAAAAGUAUCAGACAUCACCUGGUUCAUGUGUGUUUCCUGUUUCUGGGGGCUCACCUGAGCCGGGUGCCUCACCUGCACUUCCUGCACCUUCGGGUGCGUGUGAAAGAAGUCCUCGAGCUCUGCGGGGUAGAUGUUCUCACCACCCCGGAUGAUCAUAUCCUUAGAGCGGCCCACGAUCUUGCAGAAGCCCUGUUCGUUCAUUGUGGCGAUAUCUCUGUAAGGAAAGCCCAGGGGCGACCUGUCACCUCUGCCUUGUUCACUCACUUGCUUGCUCACUCAUGAAACAUUUAUUGACCACC